GGGGGUGUAGCUCAGCUGGCUAGAGCGUCUGGUUCGCAAUCAGAAGGUCGAGGGUUCGAUUCCCUUCACCUCCACCA
rnacentral:tRNA from 1 species